UUUGAAGCAGUGCUGGCCCCACGGACUGUGAGGGAGGCUUGGGGUUUCCUCCCUAUGGUUCCCAGAAAAGCUGGUGGUCCUCAGGAAGCAACCAAGUGGGCAAGGGCCUAAAGAAGUAAGAAAAAGCAAGACUUAGGAUUCGGAUGCCGAUUUCCUCACAAAGGGUUCAUGGUGCAGUGGAAAUCCUCUCUAUUAUCAGGAGAUAGCAGUGUCAACACAGCAGGACCUACCACCACCAAGGGGUCAACUACAAGGAAGCCUACCAAAGAGGUAGCAGAUACAGAGGAACCUGGAGAAGGUGAACUGUUCUGAGAUAUAAUGACUCACACAGACUCUCUGAAGCUGUCCUGAAAGAUUGAGCAAUCACCAAUUCUGGUUACAAAUUCUGGCCACUUUGAGAAUGUACUCCUUUGCAUUUGUUCUUCAUCCUGGGCUGCCUCCCUCCCUUUUUCUACCACUGUGUUUCUCUCAGAUGAUGCUUCUCACCAAAGUGACAACAUCAACAACUUUGCCUCAGGCUUUGUUUUCUAGGCUAAGUGGGCUAAGGUAAUGACAUUUUUA